AGAAUUCCUGAAUGGAAAUUGUUUGUUCAUUUAACUCUUUUGAAGUUUUACGGAUGGUAAAGUAAAGUUGGAAUCCAAUCUCUGUAGUAACCUGGCGAGAUCCAAGUAUCCAAGUAUCCAAGUAUCCAAGUAUCCAAGUAUCCAAGUAUCCAAGUAUCUCAGUACUGGCUUCAUCUGUAGUUCAUCUAUAACCUGGUUUGCCAUGGCAACAAAACCAGUAUUUUUUGACGUCAACAACAUUCCUGGGCAUUGGACCUUUCUACCAAAACACGAAGAAGUGGAAUGGCAAAUUGAUAGAAAAAAUGACAGUAUAAAGAUGAGAAAACUACAGAAAAAACAGAGAUUAAGGAGGUAUCGCGUAAAAUUCCUCAAGAAGAAACAUUCUAAUAUAAAAACCAAUUAAUUAUUGCAUUAGAAUUAAUGAUGAAUUUUACUUUUGCAAAUUGAACAUUUAGUAACAUACAUCGGCAAUAAUGAUAAAAUGAGCAACUCUUUAAUUUUUAACAGGUACAUUACUUUUUGGCCUGUAUUUGCUAAUGCAUUGAUUCAGGAUUCGCAGAAAGAAAAUGCAGGAACUGACAUAAUUCUCAUGGGGAGCAAUUUAAAAAUACACACUUUCUUUGGGAUAAUAGUCGAGUUGUGAGAUUUUAUAGGGGUUUUAUGGUCAGGGCAAAUAUUCAAAUAUUCAUGGGAAACUGAAAAGGAAAUCAGGUCUUAAAGGGAGUGUU